rnacentral:rRNA from 1 species
GUAGGUGGCAAGCGUUGUCCGGAAUUAUUGGGCGUAAAGCGCGCGCAGGCGGUCCUUUAAGUCUGAUGUGAAAGCCCACGGCUCAACCGUGGAGGGUCAUUGGAACCUGGGGGACUUGAGUACAGAAGAGGAAAGCGGAAUUCCAAGUGUAGCGGUGAAAUGCGUAGAGAUUUGGAGGAACACCAGUGGCGAAGGCGGCUUUCUGGUCUGUAACUGACGCUGAGGCGCGAAAGCGUGGGGAGCAAACAGGAUUAGAUACCCUGGUAGUCCACGCCGUAAACGAUGAGUGCUAAGUGUUAGGGGGUUUCCCGCCCCCCUUAGUGCUGCAGCUAACGCAUUAAGCACUCCGCCUGGGGAGUACGGCCGCAAGGCUG